AUUGAACGCUGGCGGCAGGCCUAACACAUGCAAGUCGAACGAGUGGCGGACGGGUGAGUAAUGUCUGGGAAACUGCCUGAUGGAGGGGGAUAACUACUGGAAACGGUAGCUAAUACCGCAUACCAUCGGAUGUGCCCAGAGGGGAUUAGCUAGUAGGUGGGGUAACGGUUCACAUAGGCGACGAGCCCUAGCUGGUCUGAGAGGAUGACCAGCGAGACGGGAACUGAGACAAGGUCCAGACUCCUACGGGAGGCAGCAGGUGGGAAUAUUGCACAAUGGGCGCAAGCCGGAUGCAGCAAUGCCGCGUGUAUGAAGAAGGCCUUCGGGUUGUAAAGUACUUUCAGCGGGGAGGCGUUACCCUCAGAAGAAGCACCGGCUAACUCCGUGCCAGCAGCCGCGGUAAUUC
rnacentral:rRNA from 1 species